UACAUGGGGUGCAAACGUUGCUCGGAAUUAUUGGGCGUAAAGCGCACGUAGGCGGUUCGUUAAGUCGGAUGUGAAAGCCCUCGGCUCAACUGAGGAAGUGCACCCGAAACUGGCGAGCUUGAGUACGAAAGAGGAUCGCGGAAUUCCCGGUGUAGAGGUGAAAUUCGUAGAUAUCGGGAGGAACACCGGGUGGCGAAGGCGGCGAUCUGGGUCGAUACUGACGCUGAGGAGCGAAAGCGUGGGGGAGCGAACAGG
rnacentral:rRNA from 1 species